UACGUAGGGUGCGAGCGUUGCCCGGAUUUAUUGGGCGUAAAGGGCGCGUAGGCGGCUACGCACGUCCGUUGUGAAAUCGCUCGGCUCAACUGGGCGGGGUCAGCGGAUACGGCGUAGCUGGAGCAAGCUAGGGGGCAAUGGAAUUCCCGGUGUAGUGGUGGAAUGCGUAGAUAUCGGGAGGAACACCUGUGGCGAAAGCGGCUCUCUGGACCACAACUGACGCUGAGGCGCGAAAGCUAGGGGAGCAAACAGG
rnacentral:rRNA from 1 species